CUAGGUCCUACUAUUUUGCACUGACUUUGAUUAAACCUUCUCUUUCGGUUGGUGUCUUUGUUUGCGUAAUCGGACGCCUUGAAUCUUCAUAUCGGAGACGAUAACAAUGGCGUCGCUUCUUACGACGGGGCUCAUACAAUCUCAUCAUCUCUCUUGGAGAAUCCAUCGAGUCAAGCUCUUAUCUUGCUCCACAGAUUUGCCCACUCGGAAGGUUGUCAAGGAAUCAAAGCUUUCUAGAGAUUCCAGUCGAAAGAUCAAAGUCGUAGACUAUGCUCCACUCAUCGAAAGCUUAAACCGAAGAAGAUUGCCUGAUGAAGCUCAUGAGAUUUUCAUCCAAAUGAAAUCAGACAACUUGCUGCCUAACUACAGAACGCUUUCCGCUCUUAUGCUCUGCUUUGCUCAAAACGGUUCUGUCCUUCGAUCGCGUGCCAUCUGGGAGGAGAUUCUAAACAGCUCUUUCGUCCCUGAUCUCCUUGUCAUCUCAAAGCUCAUGUCUGCUUACGAGCAGAUUGGUUGUUUUAGUGAAGUUUCCAAAAUCACCAGGGACAUAAGUGCAAGACAUCCUAAGCUGCUUCCCGUCGUAUCCUCACUUGCUAUUUGCUGUUUUGGAAAGAAGGGUCAGUUGGAAUUGAUGGAGGAUGCUAUAGAUGAAUUGGAUUUAAAUGAGAUCUCCUUAGACUCGGCCACUGCUAACGCAGUUGUCAGAUACUAUAGCGUUUUUGGUACUCUAGAGAAGAUGGAGCAGGCUUAUAGCCGGCUUAAGAAGUCUGGUGUUGUGAUAGAGGAAGGAGAGAUAAGAGCUGUGUUGUUAGCAUACUUAAAACAAAGGAAGUUUUAUCGGCUUCGUGAGUUUUGUUCAGACCUUGGUCUUGGUAGGAGAGACCUGGGGAAUAUGUUAUGGAACUCUGUGUUACUGUCGUAUGCAGCUGACUUUAAGAUGAAAAGCUUGCAGAGAGAGUUCAUUGAAAUGCGUGGCGCUGGUGUCUCUCCUGACCUUACCACAUUUAACAUACGUGCUCUUGCGUUUUCUAGGUUGGCUCUUUUCUGGGAUCUGCAUCUUACGCUUGAACAUAUGAGAGUUUUUGACAUUGUUCCGGAUCUCGUGACUUUUGGAUGUGUGGUCGAUGCGUACAUGGAUAAGAGGCUAGCGAGGAAUUUGGAAUUUGUAUACAACCGAAUGAACCUGGACGACUCUCCUGUUGUUUUAACUGAUCCACUCGUCUUUGAAGUACUGGGGAAAGGAGAUUUCCAUCUUAGCUCAGAAGCUGUUUUGGAGUUUGGUCAACGGAGAAACUGGACGUAUAGAAAGCUAAUUGGAGUUUAUCUCAAAAAGAAGUUGCGAAGAGACCAGAUUUUCUGGAAUUACUAACCACCUCUUUGCCGCAGCGCAGCGUGAUAAACUUAUCAGAUGCUUAAAACACUGAGUUAGUUUAGCAUGUCUGUGAAGCCAUACUUAUUGGUUACAAACCUAUCCUUGUUGCAAUAUAUUUUUGUGUUUCCGACACCCUGAUAGGUAAUUCGAAGAGGCCAAAUGAACUGCUGACAUGGACAAGAUAUAAAGAGAUAGACUCUGGUGGACUUGGAAGGUUUUCGGUUGAAGAAGACUCACGACGAAGGCCUAGAUAUAAAUAGAGUUCUUCUUCAUUUGUUGUUCAUGCUUUGAAUGUUGUUGUAGAAAGACCCUAUGAGUCUUCUCUCUCAGUCGCCAAGAAAAUGAUGAUUCAUGUUAUGUUGUUAUGUUCGCCAUGAGAGUGUAGCUUCGAAGCUGUAUCGUUUUCUUAUUGAAUUGCUAGUUCCGUGAGUUAGAGAUAUCCAAACUCUAUCACACUGAUAAGCUAUUGAGAGCUUAUGUGAAACAGAGGAUGAAGAGAGCUGACGUGGAAGGGACAUCUAAAGAUCUCAACAAACAAUGUUGACGUGGCGAGGAGGGAGGAAGAAGUUUGUUACGAUCAGUUUUACAUAAAUAUUUACUUGUUUGUUGCUUUGAUUUUUUAUCGAGUAAUUGUACUUUGAUCAUUGGGCUUGUAGAGAGAUUUUCUCUAUGAGAAGGCAGUAAUUCGAGAGAGUGUUCUCGUUUUGCUGAGGAUCAGAUACUUUGAGGAGAGAUUCUUAUUGUAUUUGAUAUUGACACU